rnacentral:rRNA from 1 species
UACGUAGGGCGCAAGCGUUGUCCGGAAUUAUUGGGCGUAAAAAGCUCGUAGGCGGCUUGUCACGUCGGAUGUGAAAGCCCGGGGCUUAACCCCGGGUCUGCAUUCGAUACGGGCUAGCUAGAGUGUGGUAGGGGAGAUCGGAAUUCCUGGUGUAGCGGUGAAAUGCGCAGAUAUCAGGAGGAACACCGGUGGCGAAGGCGGAUCUCUGGGCCAUUACUGACGCUGAGGAGCGAAAGCGUGGGGAGCGAACAGG